rnacentral:rRNA from 1 species
UACGUAGGGGGCUAGCGUUGUCCGGAAUCAUUGGGCGUAAAGAGCGUGUAGGCGGCCCGGUAAGUCCGCUGUAAAAGUCAAAGGCUCAACCUUUGAAUGUCAGUGGAUACUGCCGGGCUAGAGUCCGGAAGAGGCGAGUGGAACUCCUGGUGUAGCGGUGGAAUGCGCAGAUAUCAGGAAGAACACCAACGGCGAAGGCAGCUCGCUAGGACGGUACUGACGCUGAGACGCGAAAGCGUGGGUAGCAAACGGG